AUGACCAGCUUUGAGGCCUCCUGCAGUGUAUCUCUCACAUGAUCCUGUUCUCAUGCUGAGGAGCCUGUGGUCCCUGUGUGGUGAUUAGACAGUGGACUGUUAUGGGUGUAGGUGAAUUGGCUUAUUUUGCCUGUCCCUGUCUGAUUUUAUUGCAGGAAUUACAAACCAAGAAGAGGAAGAAGACCAAGGCCCACCAUGCCCCAGGUAACUCUGAGCAAUUGAGAACAGCUAAAUCUGUGUCGACACCUGGAGACUCCUGGUUCAGGGAAAACAGAGUGGGCUGACAUUAUUGAUUACAUCUUUUUAUCCAAGCCUGAAUUAUUCCUACUAACAUUGCUGUUGGUUUUCAUUGCUGUAGAUAUUUAGGUUCCCAUUUCUUCUCCCCUUAUCAUUUACUAACCUCCUGUAGGUGGACCAUACUUUGAAAGCUGUAUUCUCAUGGUGACUGCUUGGAAACUUGAGCACAUUUGAUGGAAAAUUAUUGAUCACAGCCUUUUCAUGAUCACUGUAUGCUGUGUGUCCCGAGGGCACUAACUCAGUGUGUCCUGUUACUCCCUCAUCAGUGUGUCACCUGGACAAUUCACCAAGCACUCUCUCUCUCUCUCUCUCUGCCUCUGUCUCUCUGUCUUUCUCUUUCAUCCUUUUCCAUUUGGCCCUAUUCUGUCCCAAAGUGAAGGCAAUAAUUUGUGACCUCAUUCAUGGAUCUAUCAUUUUUCUUUCUUGACCAGUUCCUUAUGCUACUCGUGAAAUCUAGUUGGGGAUCUGUUGUGUCUGAUUUCUCCUGACUUAUUCUUUACUUUUUCUGCUUUUCAAGACUCAGCAGAGAGCUGCUGGAGGUAGUAGAGCCUGAAGUCUUGCAGGACUCACUGGAUAGAUGUUAUUCGACUCCUUACAGUUGUCUUGAGCUUCCCGAGUCAUGCCAUCCCCAUGGAAGUUCCUUGUACUCAUUGGAGGAACAACACGUUGGCUUUUCUCUUGGCGUGGAUGAAAUUGAAAAGUACCAAGAAGGGGAAGAAGAUCAAAACCCACCAUGCCCCAGGUAACUUUCAGCAAUUGUGGACGCUUAAUUCUUUCUUAAUACCUGGAGACGACAGAUCCAGGGGAAAGCAGUGUGUUUGGUUUCAUGUUUUCAAGGAAAGCUG
rnacentral:lncRNA from 1 species